CAGAAGAUAGUUUAAUGGAAAAUACCAGCUUUGGGAGUUGGUGAUGGAGGUUUAAGUCCUCUUUUUCUGA
rnacentral:tRNA from 1 species